rnacentral:tRNA from 1 species
GUCUUCAUAGCUCAGGUGGUAGAGCGCUCGAUUGGGAAGCGAAAGGUCCUGGGUUCGAGUCCCAGUCUAGACA